CCUACGGGAGGCAGCAGUGAGGAAUAUUGGUCAAUGGGCGCGAGCCUGAACCAGCCAAGUAGCGUGAAGGAUGACUGCCCUACGGGUUGUAAACUUCUUUUAUAAAGGAAUAAAGUGAGGCACGUGUGCCUUUUUGUAUGUACUUUAUGAAUAAGGAUCGGCUAACUCCGUGCCAGCAGCCGCGGUAAUACGGAGGAUGCAAGCGUUAUCCGGAUUUAUUGGGUUUAAAGGGUGCGUAGGCUGUGAGGUAAGUAAGGGUGGAAAUGCCCCGCUCAACGGGGUGAAUUGCCAUUGAUACUGUCUGGCUGGAAGGCGGAUGCGGUAGGAGGAAUGUGUGGUGUAGCGGUGAAAUGCAUAGAUAUCACACAGAACACCGAUUGCGAAGGCAGCUCACGAAUCCGCGAUUGACGCUGAUGCACGAAAGCGUGGGUAUCAAACAGGAUUAGAUACCCGUGUAGUC
rnacentral:rRNA from 1 species